rnacentral:misc_RNA from 1 species
UUUCCGUAGGUGAACCUGCGGAAGGAUCAUUAAAAAAUGAAGACCCAUUUGAUUUGUGGUCUUAUUUAAUAAUCCUACCCUUUGUGAAUUUGUUUGUUUUUUAAUUUGUGUCUUUCCCUGUUUUUUGAUGGAGCUUGUAAAAAGGCAAAAUCAAAUGCAGGGGAAUGGCAAAACCUUUUUUUAAAAUUAAACAUUUUGUAUUCAUUUGUCUAAAAAUUAUUUUUAUAUAAUAUAAAAACAACUUUUGACAAUGGAUCUCUUGGUUCUCGCAACGAUGAAGAACGCAGCAAAAUGCGAUAAGUAAUGUGAAUUGCAGAAUACGUGAAUCAUCGAAUCUUCGAACGCAUAUUGCACUUUUUUGGUUUACCAAAAAAGUAUGUCUGUUUGAGUAUCAGUAAAAUAUUCUCAUAAAAAACUUGUUUUUUAUGGUUAUGAGUGUUUUACAACGAUAAACAAGUUGUUUCACUUUAAAUUCUUUGUCUUUUAAAAAAUCAUUUAAAAACUGAUUUUUUUUAAAAUUGGAUAAAAUUUUCCCGUAAAAAGGAAUAACCUAAACAAUUUUAUAAAAUGAAUUAGUUUGAUUUUUUAAAAGUACUUAAAGGAAAAAAAGUAAAAAUUAACUUGAUCUCAAAUCAGAUAAGAGUACCCGCUGAACUUAAGCAUAUCAAUAAGCGGAGGAAAAGAAACUAACUAGGAUUCCCUCAGUAACGGCGAGUGAAGCGAGAAGAGCUCAAAUUUGAAAUCUUCAAGGUUCUACCUUGACGAAUUGUAGUUUAAAGAAGUGUUUUCUGUUGGAGUUUUGGUAAAAGUUCUUUGGAAUAGGACAUCAUAGAGGGUGAGAAUCCCGUAUUUGACCAUUAUUUCCAACUUUGUGAUACACUUUCAAAGAGUCGGAUUGUUUGGGAAUGCAGUCCAAAAUGGGUGGUAAAUUUCAUCUAAAGCUAAAUACUGGCGAGAGACCGAUAGCGAACAAGUACCGUGAGGGAAAGAUGAAAAGAACUUUGAAAAGAGAGUUAAACAGUACGUGAAAUUGUCAAAAGGGAAGCGUUUGACGCCAGUGUUGUUUUCUCGAAAAUCAAUUAAAAAUGGUGGGAUGUUGUGUUGUAUUGACUUUAUCAGCUUUCUGCACUUUUUUUCCUAUCUUUUUUAAUGCACUUUUCGUUUAACAAGUCAACAUCAAUUUCUUUUGUUGUAAAAGAGUCAUUGGAAGGUGGCUUUCUUUUCGGAGAAAGUGUUUAUAGCCUUUGGCUUCUGCAAUCGGAGAGAUUGAGGUCUGCAGCGUAGAUCCUUCGGGGUUAGAUGCAUUUGUGCUAAGUUAUAGCCUUUCAUAGACAACUUGUUGACUAUGAUCAGUCAUGUAGCUUACUCGCUUAUGUCAUUUUACCUACGCUUAGGAGUUG